AGAGUUUGAUCAUGGCUCAGAUUGAACGCUGGCGGAAUGCUUUACACAUGCAAGUCGAGCGGCAGCGCGGGGCAACCUGGCGGCGAGCGGCGAACGGGUGAGUAACAUAUCGGAACGUACCCAGUCGUGGGGGAUAACUAUCCGAAAGGAUAGCUAAUACCGCAUACGACCUGAGGGUGAAAAGCGGGGGGACCGAAAGGCCUCGCGCGAUUGGAUCGGCCGAUAUCGGAUUAGCUAGUUGGUGAGGUAAAGGCUCACCAAGGCGACGAUCCGUAGCUGGUCUGAGAGGACGACCAGCCACACUGGAACUGAGACACGGUCCAGACUCCUACGGGAGGCAGCAGUGGGGAAUUUUGGACAAUGGGCGCAAGCCUGAUCCAGCCAUUCCGCGUGCAGGAUGAAGGCCUUCGGGUUGUAAACUGCUUUUGUACGGAACGAAACGGUCUGCCCUAAUACGGUGGGCUAAUGACGGUACCGUAAGAAUAAGCACCGGCUAACUACGUG
rnacentral:rRNA from 1 species